CCUACGGGCGGCAGCAGUGGGGAAUAUUGCACAAUGGGGGAAACCCUGAUGCAGCGACGCCGCGUGAGUGAAGAAGUAUCUCAGUAUGUUAAGCCCCAUCAGCAGGGAAGAAGCAAGACGGUACCUGACUAAGAAGCCCCGGCUGACUACGUGCCAGCAGCCGCGGUAAUACGUAGGGGGCAAGCGUUAACCGGAUUUACUGGGGGUAAAGGGAGCGUAGGCGGUAUGGCAAGUCUGAAGUGAAAGCCCAGGGCUUAACCCUGGGACUGCUUUGGAAACUGUUAGACUAGAGUGCUGGAGAGGUAAGUGGAAUGCCUAGUGUAGCGGUGAAAUGCGUAGAUAUUGCGAAGAACACCAGUGGCGAAGGCAGCUUGCUGGACAGUAACUGACGUUGAUGCUCGAAAGUGUGGGUAUCAAACAGGAUUAGAUACCCGGGUAGUC
rnacentral:rRNA from 1 species